ACUCCUACGGGGAGGCAGCAGUGGGGAAUAUUGCACAAUGGGGGAAACCCUGAUGCAGCCAUGCCGCGUGUGUGAAGAAGGCCUUCGGGUUGUAAAGCACUUUCAGUAGGGAGGAAAGGUAGCAGUUUAAUAAACUGUUGCUGUGACGUUACCUACAGAAGAAGGACCGGCUAACUCCGUGCCAGCAGCCGCGGUAAUACGGAGGGUCCGAGCGUUAAUCGGAAUUACUGGGCGUAAAGCGUGCGCAGGCGGUUUGUUAAGCGAGAUGUGAAAGCCCUGGGCUCAACCUAGGAAUAGCAUUUCGAACUGGCGAACUAGAGUCUUGUAGAGGGGGGUAGAAUUCCAGGUGUAGCGGUGAAAUGCGUAGAGAUCUGGAGGAAUACCGGUGGCGAAGGCGGCCCCCUGGACAAAGACUGACGCUCAUGCACGAAAGCGUGGGGAGCAAACAGGAUUAGAUACCCUGGUAGUCCACGCCGUAAACGAUGUCUACUCGGAGUUUGGUGUCUUGAACACUGGGCUCUCGAGCUAACGCAUUAAGUAGACCGCCUGGGGAGUACGGCCGCAAGGUUAAAACUCAAAUGAAUUGACGGGGGCCCGCACAAGCGGUGGAGCAUGUGGUUUAAUUCGAUGCAACGCGAAGAACCUUACCUACUCUUGACAUCCACGGAAGACUGCAGAGAUGCGGUUGUGCCUUCGGGAACCGUGAGACAGGUGCUGCAUGGCUGUCGUCAGCUCGUGUUGUGAAAUGUUGGGUUAAGUCCCGCAACGAGC
rnacentral:rRNA from 1 species